AGUGAACGCUGGCGGCGAGCUUAACACAUGCAAGUCGAACGAGAACGGAAUAUAGCUUGCUAUAUUUGUCAGCUAAGUGGCGCACGGGUGAGUAAUGUAUAGAUAACCUGCCCUUAAGAAAGGAAUAACAGUUGGAAACGACUGCUAAUGCCCUAUAUGCCUUAAAUACAUAAGUAUGCAAGGGAAACGCUUUAGUGCUUAAGGAUGGGUCUGUAUGGUAUCAGCUUGUUGGUGAGGUAAUGGCUCACCAAGGCUAUGACGCCUAACUGGUUUUAGAGGAUGAUCAGUAACACUGGAACUGAGACACGGUCCAGACUCCUACGGGAGGCAGCAGUGGGGAAUAUUGCACAAUGGACGAAAGUCUGAUGCAGCAACGCCGCGUGGAGGAUGACACAUUUCGGUGCGUAAACUCCUUUUAUAUAGGAAGAUAAUGACGGUACUAUAUGAAUAAGCACCGGCUAACUCCGUGCCAGCCGCCGCAGUAACAC
rnacentral:rRNA from 1 species